rnacentral:tRNA from 1 species
GGGCGAGUAGCUCAGCUGAAUAGAGCAUCAGAUUUCGGCUCUGACGGUCGGGGGUUUGAAUCCCUCCUCGCUCACCA